rfam:Escherichia vulneris NBRC 102420 DNA, contig: EV10242015.
UGGCGCUUGAGGCUUUUUGCCUCAUAACGUUGAAUUGGUAAAGAUGUGGUGAGGCAGAAAGAAGAAAGCCCCGAAGGUCAUUUUUCAAUUAACCAACGAGGCUUGCUCUUAUGCUAGACAACAUCAGAGUAGCCGUUUACCCGCCGCAAGGCAAGGAGAAGAAGGCUAUGAAG